UCAGCCGGUACUCGCGAAUGCCUCUAGAUUUUAGUUUGAUCAUGGCUCAGAAUCAACGCUGUGCGGCGUGCCUAACACAUGCAAGUCGAACGAGAAAGUCCCGCAAGGGAUGAGUAAAGUGGCGCACGGGUGAGUAACACGUAGCUAACCUGCCCUUGAGUGGGGGAUAACCUGGGAAACUCGGGCUAAUACCGCAUAACGUUCUGGUUGCGCAAGCAGCUGGAAUCAAAGGCCCGCAAGGGUCACUUGAGGAGGGGGCUGCGGCCGAUUAGCUAGUUGGUGAGGUAACGGCCCACCAAGGCUAUGAUCGGUAGCCGGCCUGAGAGGGCGCACGGCCACACUGGCACUGAAACACGGGCCAGACUCCUACGGGAGGCAGCAGUGGGGAAUUUGCACAAUGCCCGAAAGGGUGAUGCAGCAACGCCGCGUGAGGGAUGAAGGCCUUCGGGGUCGGUAAACUCUUUUUCGAUCGGGAACAAAAAGCGGGCUGGUUGAAAUUAGCCAAGUCUGAUGGUACCGGAUUGAAGAAGCCCCGGGCCAAACUACGUGCCAGCAAGCCGCGGNUAAUAACGUAAGGGGGCCGAAGCGGUUNGUAACGGGAAAUACUGGGCCGUUACAAGGCCGUGUAAAGCCGGUAGACCGGAAANGCACGGGCGUUUGAAAUCCCCCGGGGCUCAAACCCCGGGGGCGGCGNUUACAAAACUUGGCGGGCCAACAACGUGCCG
rnacentral:rRNA from 1 species